rnacentral:rRNA from 1 species
AUACGGAGGGUGCAAGCGUUGUUCGGAAUCACUGGGCGUAAAGGGCGCGCAGGCGGUUUGGUAAGUCAGAUGUGAAAGCCCACGGCUCAACCGUGGUAGUGCAUUUGAAACUGUCAGACUUGAGUACUAGAGGGGAAAGUGGAAUUCCCGGUGUAGAGGUGAAAUUCGUAGAUAUCGGGAGGAAUACCGGUGGCGAAGGCGACUUUCUGGCUAGAUACUGACGCUGAGGCGCGAAAGCGUGGGGAGCAAACAGGAUUAGAAACCCUUGUAGUCC